CAACAUUUUUAAAAGAGGCGGACCCAAUCGAAAACAGUAAACAGAGGUCAAAAAUUGCACUCGCGAGUUCGUCGUGGGUUUUGUAAAAUGUGCUGAUUAAUGAUACAUUUCUUUCACGCAUACUACAAAUUACAAAUGAAUUUUCCCCUGAAAUUCAGAACAGUCCCGAAACAAAAUACAAAAUGGACGUACCGUAUUCUUUCUUAAUGUAUUCAGGGGAAGAAUUGCCACUGGAGCUCCCUGGGAACUGUGCUGUAACUCAAACCCUUCCGUGUCCCGCUGGGGGACGAGGAGCUGAACUUGGUCACAGUCAUGAAGCUGGAAGUUCCUCCGGCAGACAUGACUGCAGAGGAGCCAGCUCCACCUCUGGAUAUAUUCAUACUGCCUGAGGAACCAGAUGCAAACUCAGAGGAGGAGCUGCACCCGUAUCCAGAGGAAAGAUCUCCACCUGUUGCUGAGGAACCGCCAACUGUUGUGUUGGAGAUCCUGCUCCUGAACUGCUGCUGGCUGAACGUCCAGACGAGGAGGCUGGAGAGAAGAGAGAAGUAUUGAUCAACUUCAAAAAUUGGAAAAUACAUCUUUCUGCUAUAUUCCAGUAUAUGUAUUGCACCGGCUGACCAACAGCUUUGUGAAUUAAUAAUAAAAUGUACUGCUCCUUUCAUGAAUUUUCAAUAAAUAUUCCUAAAUAUAUGCAUGUCUUAAUUUCAGAAAUGUCCUCUAUAUCUAAUAAAUAGCCGGU
rnacentral:lncRNA from 1 species